UCCUUGGUGGUCUAGAGGUUAGGAUUCAGAGCUUUCAUCACUGUGGCCCAGGUUCAAUACCUGGUUUGGGAA
rfam:Sus scrofa chromosome 17.